UAUAAAUUUCUUUUAGGAGGACUACUAUAGCAAGCAUUCUUCGUCAGUUCAUCUGGUCACCAACCAACCCUCUUGCUUCACCGGAUCCAGUCCCAUCUGGUAACUAAUAUAACAUUUACGGUUUCCGUCAUUAGCUUGCUGUUUUUCUGUAGAAAUGGGGUCGCAUGAGUUCAUUAAACGAUAUACUGUAUACGCACCUCCUCAUCGUAAGGAGGAACAAAUACGACAGCAUAAGAUGCCAUACAGAAAUACACCUAAGGUGAAGAAGUUACCACCCACCAAAGAGGUAUGUUUGUCAUUUUUGUAUGGAUAUGUAGCUCUGUUUUUGUUGUUGUUGAGAAAUGUACUUCCAACAUAAGCCAUAUGAAUUUAUACAAGGUUUUUUAAGUGUAAUAUCUGUGGUGAAGGUAUCAAUAAAAACUAAACUCUCCUGGUGAGAACAAACCUUAGCAACAUAUUUACACCUUCGAAAAGAAGGUUGCAUUACGUAUGUUUUGAUACGCAAAUAACAGCAAAUAUGAGAUUUUAAAGACCCCCAACCCUCCUCCUUCGAAAUCUAUGUGAAUUGGGCUCAAUCAAUGUUGUUUUAAUGGUAAUUGUGUUUGUUUAGGUGU